GAUGAACGCUGGCGGCGCGCCUAACACAUGCAAGUCGAACGAUUAAAGCACCUUCGGGUGCGUAUAAAGUGGCGAACGGCUGAGUAACACGUGGGCAACCUGCCCCUUUCAUUGGGAUAGCCACGGGAAACCGUGGAUAAUACCGAAUACUUCGAGACUUCCGCAUGGAAGACUCGAGAAAGCUCCGGCGGAGAGGGAUGGGCCCGCGGCCUGUUAGCUUGUUGGUGGGGUAACGGCCUACCAAGGCAAUGAUGGGUAGCUGGGUUGAGAGACCGACCAGCCAGAUUGGGACUGAGACACGGCCCAGACUCCUACGGGAGGCAGCAGUGGGGAAUCUUGCACAAUGGGCGAAAGCCUGAUGCAGCGACGCCGCGUGCGGGAUGAAGGCCUUCGGGUUGUAAACCGCUUUCAGCAGGGACGAGGCGAAAGUGACGGUACCUGCAGAAGAAGCCCCGGCUAACUACGUG
rnacentral:rRNA from 1 species